rnacentral:piRNA from 1 species
UGAAGCUAAAGGACGAGGAAUGUGAGC